rnacentral:rRNA from 1 species
CCUACGGGUGGCAGCAGUGGGGGAUAUUGCACAAUGGGGGAAACCCUGAUGCAGCGACGCCGCGUGGGUGAAGAAGUAUUUCGGUAUGUAAAGCCCUAUCAGCAGGGAAGAAAGAAGACGGUACCUGACUAAGAAGCCCCGGCUAACUACGUGCCAGCAGCCGCGGUAAUACGUAGGGGGCGAGCGUUAUCCGGAUUCACUGGGUGUAAAGGGAGCGUAGACGGCCGUGCAAGCCAGGAGUGAAAGCCCGGGGCCCAACCCCGGGACUGCUCUUGGAACUGUGCGGCUGGAGUGCGGGAGGGGCAGGCGGAAUUCCUGGUGUAGCGGUGAAAUGCGUAGAUAUCAGGAGGAACACCGGCGGCGAAGGCGGCCUGCUGGACCGCGACUGACGUUGAGGCUCGAAAGCGCGGGGAGCGAACAGGAUUAGAUACCCUUGUAGUC